GAUGAAGAACGUAGCGAAAUGCGAUACUUGGUGUGAAUUGCAGAAUCCCGUGAACCAUCGAGUUUUUGAACGCAAGUUGCGCCCGAAGCCACUAGGCCGAGGGCACGCCUGCCUGGGCGUCACACGCCGUUGCCCCCCCAUCUACUCCUUCGGGAUUGCGGGGGGGCGGAUGAUGGCCUCCUGUGCGCCUAGCCGCGCGGUUGGCAUAAAUACCAAGUCCUCGGCGACGCACGCCACGACAAUCGGUGGUUGCGAAACCUCGGUUGCCCGUCGUGUGCGUUCGUCGCGCAUCGAGGGCUCGAAAAAAUGCUCGGCUCCGGCUGGGCUUUCAACGCGACCCCAGGUCAGGCGGGGUUACCCGCUGAAUUUAAGCAUAUCAAUAAGCGGAGGA
rnacentral:misc_RNA from 1 species